UAGGGUUUCUGAGAUAGACGGUGGUGAUUGGUGCUGAGAUUUCGGCGGUGGAGGCGUGAAGAGAUUGAAGAGAUCGGAACAAAGCAGGAAAAUCGGUAGUCCUAACAAGAUCAAUUGUGUUUUGUCCAUGGCGGAUUUUGAAAUCUCAGAGAGGGAAUUUGAAGUUGAAAUUUUGAAGGAGAUCGAUCGGAGAAGAGAACUUUUAUCACUUAUGCCACUUUUUUUAAAAAACUGAUCUGGACUGCCAUCAGUGAAUGUCACCGAAAAUGUGAUAUACCAGUUGUACCCUUAAUGAGUUGAUUAAAAAAAUAAAAAAGAAAUUCAAAAGCUAAAUAAAGAAAAUCGAGAUUCUCCGUUCUCUCUUCUUCGUCGUCGUGUUCUUCUUCUUGCGUCGACGUUCAUCUUCUUCGUCGGCCACCAUCGAUUCCGGCCGCCGCCGACUUGAAAUCCGUCGUAAAAGGCAACGAAUUAGGUCAGUUUCUUCUCAUAUUUCCUUUGACAUUGGUGCAUUGUGAUUUUAGAUUAGGAUUUUGAAUUAUAUAUAAUUCCCAGAUUCAAUUUGAUAGUUUGAUGAUUGGUUUGCAAAGUAAAGAGUAAUCGAUUAGAGGUUGCCGAAACGUUAUUUGAGGUGAUGAGCAAAGGAAUGUAGGUUGAAUGUGAGUUGAAUUUGAAUUCCGAGAUUUCAUAUUAAAGAUUUGGGGGGUUUCAUGUUAGUUGACAAGAUCAUGAAGAAGGUUGCGAUUGAUGAAGCUUCUGUGAAGUUGAAACUGAGUUACAAUCUGUCUAAAGUUAGGAGAGAGACAUAUAUUGUAGAUGAUGAGGAUGUCUUUAUAUUUUUAACAGAAUCUGAUGAAGAGAGUCGGAUUCCUGUUUUGCAUGUGGAGAAAUUAAAUGGUAUAGGAGUUGAGAGGAGAGAGGAAAUUUCUGUACCGGAGCGUCGAAGUUCAGUUGGUGUAAAUGUAAGAAAAGAUGAUGUUUUAAAUGAAGUAUGUGAGAUGGUGCAUGAUGGAUAUGAUAAUGAUGUGAAUGAUUGUGAGAAUGUAGUAGGUACGGAGAUCGUGGCUGUCGAAAGGCCGAUGGAAAGGCCGGUGAAUUCUGUUGAGGAAGAAGAUGAGGAUGAUAGGAUUGAUUAUGAUGAUAUUCACAAUAUUCCACGAAGUGUAGAAGUUACUCCGCAGGUUAUAGAAUGGGAUGAUGGUACGGGUAUUGAAAUUGGUCAAGAAUUUUGUUCAAGGGAGGCUGUGUGGGAAUUGGUUAACAGAGCUGCAAAGCAAGAAGUUUUUGGAGUCUAUACUAUUAAGUCAGACCCGUUGAGACUUAUGCUACGAUGCCGCCAAGCUUCUAAAGGGUGUACUUGGUAUCUAAGAGUUGCGAGAACUAAGAAAUCUCAUUUUUGGAGUGUUAGAGUGCAUAGAAAGAUGCAUACAUGCUCUCGGAGUGUUGAGACUACAAGCAACAGUAUACAGCGAGGCACACCAAGAUUGAUAGCAUCGGUUUUGCAUUGUGACUAUCCCGGAAAUUUAGAGACCCCAACUCCAAACAACAUUAUGUCGAUUGUAAGAGGAAGACUUGGGGUGCAUUGUUCAUACUCCACUGCCUUAAGAGGCAAAAUGCUACAUGUUAGUGAUGUGCGAGGGACUCCGGAAAGAAGCUACACGAUGUUAUUUUCUUAUCUUUACAUGUUAGAGAAGGUAAAUCCAGGGACAGUAACUUAUGUGGAGUUGGAAGGAGAGAAAAAGUUCAAGUACCUCUUCAUUGCAUUAGGCGCUUGCAUUGAAGGUUUUAGGACAAUGCGGAAAGUGAUAGUUGUGGAUGCAACUCAUCUUAAAACUGUGUAUGGUGGGAUGUUGGUUAUUGCAACAGCACAAGAUCCUAAUCAUCAUCAUUAUCCACUUGCGUUUGGAAUCAUUGAUAGCGAGAAUGAUGUAAGUUGGAUUUGGUUCUUAGAAAAGCUGAAAACUGUAUAUUCGGAUGUUCCCGGAUUGGUCUUUAUUAGUGAUAGGCAUCAAAGCAUAAAGAAGGUUGUCAAGACGGUGUACCCGAAUGCGCUUCAUGCAGCUUGUAUAUGGCAUUUGUGUCAAAACAUGAGAGAUCGUGUGAAAAUUGACAAGGAUGGAGCUGCUGUCAAGUUCAGGGAUUGUGCUCAUGCAUAUACUGAGAGUGAGUUCGAGAAAGAGUUUGGUCAUUUUACAAGUUUAUGGCCUAAAGCUGCUGACUUUCUUGUGAAAGUAGGGUUUGAGAAAUGGUCGAGGUGCCAUUUUAAAGGAGACAAGUAUAACAUUGACACUAGUAAUUCUGCGGAGUCCAUUAAUGGUGUGUUUAAAAAAGCGAGAAAAUAUCACUUGUUACCAAUGAUUGAUGUGAUGAUUUCUAAGUUUUCUGAAUGGUUCAACGAGCAUAGGCAAGAUUCAAGUUCUUGUCCAAUCACAGCACAAGUUGUGCCUACUGUCGAGAACAUAUUGCACAUUAGAUGUCCAAUUGCAGCCAAAUUAACUGUGUUUGAGCUUAACAGUUACAACCAAGAAUACAACGUGAUUGAUCUCAACUCGGUAAGUUUUCUGGUGGAUUUGAAAAUGAAAAGUUGUUCAUGCAAAUGUUUUGAUAUAGACAAGAUCCCGUGUGUCCAUGCUAUGGCCGCAGCCAGGCACCUCGCCCGCAAGGAAGGGAGAAAUGCGAAUACAACCAUCUACGGACUCUGCUCUGUGUAUUACUUGAUAGAGAGUUGGGCAUUGGCCUAUUACCGGACGUUGUAUGUAGUCCCACAUGAGUCGGUUUGGGUUCUUCCUGCCCAUAUUAAAGAGUUAGUUGCCUUUCCGCCGGAAUACACACCAAAAGGACCAGGACGAAAUCAAGAGAAGCGGUUUCCAUCAGUUGGUGAAGCGCGAAAGAGGAGAAUAAAUUUGGAGGCUUGGCUGCAGCCUGAGGAAGAUUAAGUCUAAUGCAGAAAAGGUUAAACCGGAACAACCUGGCCAACUGCAGAAAGGGUUCAACCAAUACAACUAAGUUCAUUUGUAUUUGUAUUAUAUUAUUUGUAAGUGUGAUGUACUAUGUUUUAUGUUUUCGUAUUUGUAUUGAAUUCUUUGCAAGUUUAUUGAAUUAUUUGCAAGUUUAAUGUAUUUUUUUAAGUUCAACUGAGACAACUGAUAUAUGUAUCUGUAUUUUAGGAUUAACAAAAUGAUAAAAUAAUUCUCAAUAUUUUCAGCUAUUAUCAACAUCUAAACAUUGAAUAAAUCCAAAAUAUGAUAUUACAACAUUGUUAUUACUAAACUUGAUCAUAAACUGGUUUCUUAAUAAAUCACCUAUGUAUAACAAGGAACAUAUAGUUCAUGAUUGUCCAAUGUACAUACGUUAUGUAUGAAAACAGAUAUUUACUAAAUAUGAUUCUAUCAAAACUUAUUAAAAUCCAUUAAUAUGUUAAAACUUAUGGGACCAACUAAAAAAAUGAGUUGGUUUUUCAGAUUCAACUUCAAAAACACAAAAUUUAGAAUAGUUCAACUGUUUGUGAUUCCGGCCAACUGUACAUAUACAUACAACUAUGUGUAUUCUCAAUAUUCUAAUAAAUAAUUUUAAAAAAAAAAUAGACCCCACGAAGUCGGGUUCACACUACGAUUAUUGCGUUCACACUACAAAGUUUCUACCUAUUUAUUCUCGUUCAUCUCUCUUUCUCUCUCUCUCUUCUAUUUCACUUCUCUCGUUCUUCUCUCUUCUUCCUCUCUCUCGUUCUUCUCUCUUCUUCCUUCCCAACAUCGGCGACGACAACUGAAAAUAGGGUUCCCAUUAUUCGCCGCCGCCGACGACAACAACAACAACCAAGGUAUUACAUGCACUGGAGUUCUUCCUCUCUCUCGUUCUUCUCUCUUCUUCUAAAGGGUUUCUAGCCGCCGUAAUUAGUAGAUCUAAGGUUUCUUACGGGUUUUUAGCCGCCAUAAUUAGUAAAUCUAGGGUUUCUUACGGGUUUCUAGCCGCCGUAAUUAGUAAAUCUAGGGUUUAUAGCGUUCAUGAUUCAUAUCUCUUUCUUUCUCUGUUCUGUAGAUGCCCUAUAGUUACUCUCAACCAUCCACGUCCGAAGCUAGUUGGAAUAGUGGAAAGGCGAAUGCCGAUGCAAAUUGGGGGGUUCCAGAAAAAUGUUUUUGUGGUAAGCCUGUAAAACUUGAAGUGUGCAAAACUGGUUACAGGCAAGGCGACAGAGUCUACAAAUGCCCAAUGCUUAAAGUAAGUUAUUGUGUUUUCAUUUCAUUGGAACAACAAAGUACAAGUGAAUUAUAUUUAUGAAGUCUUCUCUCUUUCGCAGGCUGAAGAGUACGAGUCCCGAAACCACCUUAUUCAGUGGUGGGAUCAGGCGGUAACUGAGGAGCUUGAGAAGGUAAAUCACAAACUUGAUUCCACACUAAGACAUGGACAACUAGCAUGCAAUCAUGCUUUGGAGUCCAUCCGGGAAACUAUUCAUCUCAUGCAAGGCGAAAUUGAAACCCUUAAAGAAAGGUUACUCGCCAAAGAAGUCGAGAUUGAUAGGCUUAAGGCAUUACUUUCUACAUGGUGAUUAUGAUGUGAUUUAUGUUAUUGAGGAUGGUGUAUGGCAUUUGAACUUAAAUAUGUUAUGUUUCGGGAUUUUAUGUAAUAUUUGAACCUAAUUAGACAUGUAUUUACCUAUUUUAAGUUAUGUGUAUUGACCGGCCAACUGGGACAACUUAGCUACUCUUGUAUUUUAAGUUAUGUGUAUUGACCGGCCAAAUGGGACAACUUAGCUACUCUUGUAUUUUAAGUUAUGUGUAUUGACCGGCCAACUGGGACAACUUAGCUACUCUUGUAUUUUAAGUUAUGUGUAUUGACCGGCCAACUGGGACAACUUAGCUACUCUUGUAUUAUUGACCGGCCAACCGGGACAACUUAGCCAAACGUUUUGAUUUUAAUAAAAUCCUAAAACACAUAAACCAUUUCAGAAAAUAAGUUUGUCCUCUACACAUAAACUACGCAUAACAUUCCCAAAUACACAAAAAGAAAGUCUUAUUUUGACAGACACCUAAGAGUCCACACACACACAUAAGCAAGAAAGAAUUUUCAAAGUCCUAAUUCUUCUGUCUCUUCCUCGUUUGCUUCCCCUCAGCUGUAAACUCUUCCCCCUUAUACUUGAAAGGUUUCCUUCCACGUUUUUCCCCAGAUUCCAGAGUAGGACCAACAUGCUUUCUCUUCUUCUUCGAUAUCUGCUUCUUCUUAUCCUCUUCAUCGGACUCAUCGCUGCCAUCACCUACAAAAAUAUGUAACCAAACAUCUAAGAACUAUUGUGAAAGCAUCACUACACAAAAGUUCAACAAAAACUCACUUAGAGACUCAAUAGUUGGAGGUGCUGGGUCACGGAUUCCACUGUGAAUAACCAAGGCCUUGCUCUGAGUAUCCCUUGGCUGAUAAGACAGUGGCACAAAAUCAGCAGCUGAACCAGGACGUAUAUCUUCAUAACGGGCUUUUUCUGCCUCUUUCUCAAGCUGAUCUGCCACAUAUUCCUCUAUUCCUUGUACUCUCACACAAAUCCGCUUGAUUUCGCUAUCCAUCACAGCAAGCUUGUCCGUGAGCUUGUCAAAUCCUCUCUCCAUAGCUUCCUUGAACGAGAGAAUCGAUGUCCCAGGGAUUUCAGGUUCAGGUACAGCUGGAACAUCAUCAACAGUUUCAAUACGUCUACCAUCAAUGUCUGCUUGGUAGAGACUACGCCAGAAAAUCUUCUUUUUCUCUACGAUAAGCCUCUCUCUCCAACUAUCAACAAUUGGAUCGAUAUAUCCAAUACCAUCAUCAACAUGCUUCUCUACAACGCGUGACAACAUUUUUCUCUCAUCCAUAUCAGGUUCCAAGAUGCUUGAAAUAUCCUGUCAAGUAAACAUAUAUUUCAAACACCACAAAGAUUAUAAACAUAGAUUUCAAGAGAACAAAGCUAACCGUUAUAUCUCCAAGUGCUUCAUUUAUUUCUUCCAAA
rnacentral:sRNA from 1 species